GGAGGGGACUAGCGUUUGUUCGGAAUUACUGGGCGUAAAGCGCACGUAGGCGGAUCAGAAAGUAUGGGGUGAAAUCCCAGGGCUCAACCCUGGAACUGCCUCAUAAACUCCUGGUCUAGAGUUCGAGAGAGGUGAGUGGAAUUCCGAGUGUAGAGGUGAAAUUCGUAGAUAUUCGGAGGAACACCAGUGGCGAAGGCGGCUCACUGGCUCGAUACUGACGCUGAGGUGCGAAAGUGUGGGGAGCAAACAGGGAUUAGAUACCCUGGUAGUCCACACCGUAAACGAUGAAUGCCCAGUCGUCGGGUAGCAUGCUAUUCGGUGACACACCUAACGGAUUAAGCAUUCCGCCUGGGGAGUACGGUCGCAAGAUUAA
rnacentral:rRNA from 1 species